UUUCCGUAGCAAUACGGGGAUGGGCGCACGGCGCACGGGUGCGUAACACGUGGGCAAUCUGCCCUCCGAUGGGGAAUACCCCCGCGAAAGCGGGACUAAUUCCGCAUAACAUUCCUUGGAUUAACUUUCGAGGAUUCAAAGCAGCAAUGCGUCGGAGGAGGAGCCCGCGCCCGAUUAGCUAGUUGGUGAGGUAACGGCUCACCAAGGCAAUGAUCGGUAGCUGGUCUGAGAGGAUGGCCAGCCACACUGGAACUGAGACACGGUCCAGACUCCUACGGGAGGCAGCAGUGGGGAAUCUUGCACAAUGGGCGAAAGCCUGAUGCAGCGACGCCGCGUGGGGGAUGAAGCUUUUCGGAGUGUAAACCCCUUUCGACUGGGACGAAUGCCUCGCAAGAGGAGUGACGGUACCAGUAUAAGAAGCCCCGGCUAACUACGUGCCAGCAGCCGCGGUAAGACGUAGGGGGCCAGCGUUGUUCGGAAUUACUGGGUGUAAAGGGUUCGUAGGCGGUGUGGCAAGUCGGGAGUGAAAUCUCUGGGCUCAACCCAGAGACUGCUUCCGAAACUGCUGUGCUUGAGUGUGAGAGAGGCUCGUGGAAUUGCAGGUGUAGCGGUGAAAUGCGUAGAUAUCUGCAGGAACACCCGUGGCGAAAGCGGCGAGCUGGAUCACUACUGACGCUGAGGAACGAAAGCUAGGGGAGCAAACAGGAUUAGAUACCCUGGUAGUCCUAGCCCUAAACGAUCAGGACUUGGGGUGCCGCCCGUUCGGGCGUCGUCCCGGAGCUAACGCGUUAAGUCCUGCACCUGGGGAGUACGGUCGCAAGACUG
rnacentral:rRNA from 1 species